rnacentral:tRNA from 1 species
GGAAAGGUUCCCCCGCCUGGGGAGCAUACGAGGGGGCUGGCCCCCUCAGUAGGAGCGUGAGCAGCCAGCGACCGCGACUUCGAAUGCCCGCCCUCUCCGCCA